rnacentral:rRNA from 1 species
AUUGAACGCUGGCGGCAUGCUUUACACAUGCAAGUCGAACGGUAACAGGCCUUCGGGUGCUGACGAGUGGCGAACGGGUGAGUAAUGCAUCGGAACGUGCCCAAUCGUGGGGGAUAACGUAGCGAAAGUUACGCUAAUACCGCAUAAGCCCUGAGGGGGAAAGUGGGGGACCGCAAGGCCUCACGCGAAUGGAGCGGCCGAUGUCAGAUUAGCUAGUUGGUGAGGUAAAGGCUUACCAAGGCGACGAUCUGUAGCGGGUCUGAGAGGAUGAUCCGCCACACUGGAACUGAGACACGGUCCAGACUCCUACGGGAGGCAGCAGUGGGGAAUUUUGGACAAUGGGGGCAACCCUGAUCCAGCCAUGCCGCGUGAGUGAAGAAGGCC